rfam:Bradyrhizobium manausense strain BR3351 contig2108, whole genome shotgun sequence.
GGCAUGGGGAUUGAGCGAUCUCCCCACGAGGCGACAUGCCCAAGUAUCGCGUCCCGUUCAGUUCCCACGAGGACGCAUCAACAUG